AAAGGCGUAACGAUUUGGGCACUGUCUCAACAACAGACUCGGUGAAAUUGUAAUUCCGGUGAAGAUGCCGGAUACCUGCGACAGGACGGAAAGACCCCAUGGAGCUUUACUGUAGCUUGACAUUGGGGCUUGGUACUACAUGUACAGGAUAGGUGGGAGGCUUUGAAACCAGGACGCCAGGUUUGGAGGAGCCAUCCUUGGGAUACCACCCUUGUAGUACUGGGACUCGAACCAUAUGCCAAUAAUCUGGCCUUCGGCCACUGUCAGGUGGGCCGUUUGACUGGGGCGGUCGCCUCCCAAAAGGUAACGGAGGCGCUCAAAGGUUCUCUCAGUACGGUCGGAAAUCGUACGUAGAGUGUAAAGGCAAAAGAGAGCUUGAUUGCAAGACAUACAGGUCGAGCAAGGAUGAAAA
rnacentral:rRNA from 1 species